AAGGGCGUACGGUGGAUGCCUUGGCAUGCUGAGCCGAUGAAGGACGUGUGAGGCUGCGUUAUGCCUCGGGGAGUUGCCAACUAAGCGUUGAUCCGAGGAUGUCCGAAUGGGGAAACCCAGCACCAGUUGUGUGGUGUUACCCGCAGGUGAAUUCAUAGCUUGUGUGGGGGUGUACGCGGGGAAGUGAAACAUCUCAGUACCCGCAGGAGAGGAAAAUAAUAAUGAUUCUGCUAGUAGCGGCGAGCGAACGUGGAUGAGGCUAAACCAUGUGCGUGUGAUACCUGGCAGGGGUUGCGUGUGUGGGGUUGUGGGAUGUGAUUGUUACCAGGGCUGUCGACUUGGUGCGUGUGUGUUGUGUGUUAGCGGAAGUCACUUGGGAUGGUGCGCCGUAGUGGGUGAGAGCCCCUGUACGUGAAAACAUGCAAUGUGUGCGUUGAUUGUGUCCCGAGUAGCAGCGGGCUCGUGGAAUCUGCUGUGAAUCUGCCGGGACCACCCGGUAAGCCUAAAUACUCAGUGUGACCGAUAGUGAAUAGUACCGUGAGGGAAUGGUGAAAAGUACCCCGGGAGGGGAGUGAAAUAGUUCCUGAAACCGUGCGCUUACAAUCCGUCAGAGCACCUCGUGUGUGUGAUGGCGUGCCUUUUGAAGAAUGAGCCUGCGAGUCAGCGGCAUGUCGCGAGGUUAACCCGUUGUGUGGGGUAGCCGUAGCGAAAGCGAAUCCUAAUAAGGGUGUGUUAGUGGCAUGUCCUGGACCCGAAGCGGGGUGAUCUACCCAUGGCCAGUGUGAAGCAGCUGUAAGAGGUUGUGGAGGCGCGAACCCACUUAGGUUGAAAACUGAGGGGAUGAGUUGUGGGUAGGGGUGAAAGGCCAAUCAAACUCCGUGAUAGCUGGUUCUCCCCGAAAUGCAUUUAGGUGCAGCGUUGUAGUAACUUGCCGGAGGUAGAGCUACUGGUUGGUUGAGCGGGACUAUCAUCUUAGCAAUGUCAGCCAAACUCCGAAUGCCGGUUUAAGUGUUCUAUGGCAGUGAGACUGUGGGGGAUAAGCUUCAUAGUCGAGAGGGAAACAGCCCAGAUCGCCGGUUAAGGCCCCUAAGGGUGUACUAAGUGGAAAAGGAUGUGGGAUCGCGAAGACAGCCAGGAGGUUGGCUUAGAAGCAGCCAUCCUUGAAAGAGUGCGUAAUAGCUCACUGGUCGAGUGGUUCUGCGCCGACAAUUCAGUGGGGCUCAAGUACACCGCCGAAGCCGCGGCACACUAUUUUUGUGUGGGUAGGGGAGCGUCGUGUAUGGGGUGAAGCAAUACUGUAAGGGGUUGUGGACUGUACACGAGUGAGAAUGCAGGCAUGAGUAACGAGUGAUAAGUGAGAAUCUUAUCCGCCGGAUGACUAAGGGUUCCUGGGUCAAGUUCGUCUUCCCAGGGUGAGUCGGGUCCUAAGGCGAGGCCGACAGGCGUAGUCGAUGGUUAACGGGUUGAUAUUCCCGUACCCGUGUAUAUGCGCCCAAGGGUGAAUCGGUGAUACUAACCACCCUGACCGCACCAUAUGAUGAUCCCUUCGGGG
rnacentral:rRNA from 1 species